GGAGGGUGCAAGCGUUAAUCGGAAUUACUGGGCGUAAAGCGCACGCAGGCGGUCUGUCAAGUCGGAUGUGAAAUCCCCGGGCUCAACUUGGGAACUGCAUUCGAAACUGGCAGGCUAGAGUCUUGUAGAGGGGGGUAGAAUUCCAGGUGUAGCGGUGAAAUGCGUAGAGAUCUGGAGGAAUACCGGUGGCGAAGGCGGCCCCCUGGACAAAGACUGACGCUCAGGUGCGAAAGCGUGGGGAGCAAACAGGAUUAGAUACCCUGGUAGUCCACGCCGUAAACGAUGUCGAUUUGGAGGUUGUGCCCUUGAGGCGUGGCUUCCGGAGCUAACGCGUUAAAUCGACCGCCUGGGGAGUACGGCCGCAAGGUUA
rnacentral:rRNA from 1 species